rnacentral:rRNA from 1 species
UAUGUGAUCGUCUCUCGCAUAUCAAUAAGCGGAGGAAAAGAAACUAGCAAGGAUUCCCCUAGUAACGGCGAGUGAAGCGGGAAGAGCUCAAAUUUGAAAUCUUAAAGGGUUUCCCUUUACGAAUUGUAGUUUAAAGAAGUGUUUUCUGUUGAGGUUUUGGUAAAAGUUCUUUGGAAUAGGACAUCAUAGAGGGUGAGAAUCCCGUAUUUGACCUUUACUUUCAACUUUGUGAUACACUUUCAAAGAGUCGGAUUGUUUGGGAAUGCAGUCCAAAAUGGGUGGUAAAUUUCAUCUAAAGCUAAAUAUUGGCAAGAGACCGAUAGCGAACAAGUACCGUGAGGGAAAGAUGAAAAGAACUUUGAAAAGAGAGUUAAACAGUACGUGAAAUUGUCAAAAGGGAAGCGUUUGACACCAGUGUUGUUUUUCUGAAAAUCAAUUAAAGAACUGUUUAUGCUAAGUUGUUUAGACUUUAUCAGCUAUCUGUUUAGUUUUGAGCUUUUCUUUAAUGCACUUUUCAGUUAACAAGUCAACAUCAAUUUCUUUUGCUGUAAAAAACUUGAGGAAGGUGGCUUGAGAUUCGUCUUAAGUGUUUAUAGCCUCUUGCCUAUGCAGUCGGAGAGAUUGAGGUCUGCAGCGUAGAUCCUUCGGGGCUAAAUGCAUUUGUGCUAAGUUAUAGCAUUUUAUAGACAACUUGUUGACUAUGAUUUGUCUUGUAGCUUACUCGCUUAUGUUAUUUUACCUACGCUUAGGAUGUUGAAGAUAUGCGCGACACG